AUUGAACGCUGGCGGCAGGCCAAACACAUGCAAGUCGAACGAGUGGCGGACGUGUUGGUAAUGACUGUGCAUCUGCCUGAUGGAGGGGGAUCACUAAUGGACCCGAUUACUAAUACCGCAUACCAGCGGAUAGGCCCAGAUGGGUUUAGCUUGUUGGUGGGGUAACGGCUCACCAAGGCGACGAUCCGUAGCUGGUCUGAGAGGAUGACCAGCCACACUGGAACUGAGACACGGGCCAGACUCAUACGGGAGGCAGCAGUGGGGAAUAUUGCACAAUGGGCGAAAGCCUGAUGCAGCCAUGCCGCGUGUAUGAAGAAGGUCUUCGGGUUGUAAAGCACUUUCAGUUGGGAGGCGUUACCAGCAGAAGAAGCACCGGCUAACUCCGUGCCAGCAGCCGCGGUAAUUC
rnacentral:rRNA from 1 species